UACGGAGGGGGCUAGCGUUGUUCGGAAUUACUGGGCAUAAAGCGCACGUAGGCGGCUUUGUAAGUUAGAGGUGAAAGCCCGGGGCUCAACCCCGGAACAGCCUUUAAGACUGCAUCGCUUGAACGUCGGAGAGGUGAGUGGAAUUCCGAGUGUAGAGGUGAAAUUCGUAGAUAUUCGGAAGAACACCAGUGGCGAAGGCGGCUCACUGGACGACUGUUGACGCUGAGGUGCGAAAGCGUGGGGAGCAAACAGG
rnacentral:rRNA from 1 species